rnacentral:rRNA from 1 species
AACGAACGCUGGCGGCAUGCCUAACACAUGCAAGUCGAACGAGACCUUCGGGUCUAGUGGCGCACGGGUGCGUAACGCGUGGGAACCUGCCCUUAGGUUCGGAAUCACUCCCCGAAAGGUGUGCUAAUACCGGAUAAUGUCUUCGGACCAAAGAUUUAUCGCCUUUGGAUGGGCCCGCGUUGGAUUAGCUAGUUGGUAGGGUAAAAGCCUACCAAGGCGACGAUCCAUAGCUGGUCUGAGAGGAUGAUCAGCCACACUGGGACUGAGACACGGCCCAGACUCCUACGGGAGGCAGCAGUGGGGAAUAUUGGACAAUGGGCGAAAGCCUGAUCCAGCAAUGCCGCGUGAGUGAUGAAGGCCUUAGGGUUGUAAAGCUCUUUUACCCGGGAUGAUAAUGACAGUACCGGGAGAAUAAGCACCGGCUAACUCCGUG